CAGUAGCCACGGUAAUACGGAGGGGGCUAGCGUUGUUCGGAAUUACUGGGCGUAAAGCGCACGUAGGCGGCUUGGUAAGUUAGAGGUGAAAGCCCGGAGCUCAACUCCGGAAUUGCCUUUAAGACUGCCGAGCUAGCAGGUGAGAGAGGUAAGUGGAAUUCCGAGUGUAGAGGUGAAAUUCGUAGAUAUUCGGAAGAACACCAGUGGCGAAGGCGGCUUACUGGCUCAUACUGGACGCUGAGGUGCGAAAGCGUGGGGAGCAAACAGGAUUAGAUACCCCAGUAGUCCCUGUCUCUUAUAC
rnacentral:rRNA from 1 species